rnacentral:rRNA from 1 species
CCUACGGGAGGCUGCAGUGGGGAAUAUUGGACAAUGGGGGGAACCCUGAUCCAGCCAUGCCGCGUGUGUGAAGAAGGCCCUCGGGUUGUAAAGCACUUUCAGUGAGGAAGAACGCCUGGUGGUUAAUACCCAUCAGGAAAGACAUCACUCACAGAAGAAGCACCGGCUAACUCCGUGCCAGCAGCCGCGGUAAUACGGAGGGUGCGAGCGUUAAUCGGAAUUACUGGGCGUAAAGCGCGCGUAGGUGGCUUGAUAAGCCGGUUGUGAAAGCCCCGGGCUCAACCUGGGAACGGCAUCCGGAACUGUCAAGCUAGAGUGCAGGAGAGGAAGGUAGAAUUCCCGGUGUAGCGGUGAAAUGCGUAGAGAUCGGGAGGAAUACUAGUGGCGAAGGCGGCCUUCUGGACUGACACUGACACUGAGGUGCGAAAGCGUGGGUAGCACACAGGAUUAGAUACCCUGGUAGUA